GAUGAACGCUGGCGGCGUGCCUAAUACAUGCAAGUCGAGCGAACGGACGAGAAGCUUGCUUCUCUGAUGUUAGCGGCGGACGGGUGAGUAACACGUGUAUAACCUACCUAUAAGACUGGGAUAACUUCGGGAAACCGGCGCUAAUACCGGAUAAUCUUUUGAACCGCAUGGUUCAAAAGUGAAAGACGGUCUUGCUGUCACUUAUCGAUGGAUCCGCGCUGCAUUAGCUAGUUGGUAAGGUAACGGCUUACCAAGGCAACGAUGCAUAGCCGACCUGAGAGGGUGAUCGGCCACACUGGAACUGAGACACGGUCCAGACUCCUACGGGAGGCAGCAGUAGGGAAUCUUCCGCAAUGGGCGAAAGCCUGACGGAGCAACGCCGCGUGAGUGAUGAAGGUCUUCGGAUCGUAAAACUCUGUUAUUAGGGAAGAACAUAUGUGUAAGUAACUGUGCACAUCUUGACGGUACCUAAUCAGAAAGCCACGGCUAACUACGUG
rnacentral:rRNA from 1 species